rfam:Oryzias latipes DNA, chromosome13, strain: Hd-rR.
GGGGGUAUAGCUCAGUGGUACAGCCUUUUAAUGCAGAUAAAGAGGUCCCCAGUUCAAAUCUGGGUUCCCCCU